UACGUAGGGUGCGAGCGUUAAUCGGAAUUACUGGGCGUAAAGCGUGCGCAGGCGGUUAUUUAAGUCAGGUGUGAAAGCCCUGGGCUUAACCUAGGAAUUGCGCUUGAGACUGGAUAGCUUGGAGUGCGGCAGAGGGAGGUGGAAUUCCACGUGUAGCAGUGAAAUGCGUAGAGAUGUGGAGGAACACCGAUGGCGAAGGCAGGUCUCUGGGCCAUUACUGACACUGAGAAGCGAAAGCAUGGGGAGCGAACAGG
rnacentral:rRNA from 1 species